UCUGGAUUAAUUUAGGGAAGUAUUAUUUUCCUCAGGAAAUAAUUGGAACGUCAUUCACACUUUAAACAGAUGCUUAGCAAAAGUUGGAGCUAAAACCUGCAUUUUCUUAACCUUGACACACUUGAGCUUUCAUAUGCUCUAAUACACAGGGAGAUUGACAGCUCUCAAUGAAUAACAAUGGAGAAGUUCAUUCUGUCCCUGCUUCUACACUGCAUUAUCAUUGUGAGAUUUCUGCCAAAAAUUCUUCAGAUUCACAAGAGGACCAUCAAUAUGUUCAGAAAGUUUGAGACAAGAGAAAAAUUCACAUUGAAGGUCAUCCCUGAUAACUUGGAAUUGUGUACAUUUCAUAGCAAAAGGGGAAAAGGUUAGUCCUAACCUAAAAAAAGUGCUGUGCAAAAUACUUUGUCUCAGUCU